UACGUAGGGUGCAAGCGUUGUCCGGAAUUAUUGGGCGUAAAGAGCUCGUAGGCGGUUUGUCGCGUCUGCUGUGAAAACUCGGGGCUUAACUCCGGGCCUGCAGUGGGUACGGGCAGACUAGAGUGCGGUAGGGGAGACUGGAAUUCCUGGUGUAGCGGUGAAAUGCGUAGAUAUUGGGAGGAACACCAGUGGCGAAGGCGGCUCACUGGACCGGUUCUGACGCUGAGGCGCGAAAGCGUGGGGAGCAAACGGG
rnacentral:rRNA from 1 species